CACACGCACGCCUACCCAUCGAAGCCACCGCAUACCACGCCGCAAGUUGCCUGAGGCCCUCAUGCCGCCGCCGCUCGCCCCUUUCUCUGUAUGUCGCCAACGCAACCCUGUGCCCCAGGGUCGUUCCCUCCUUCCCACAAGGCUCGAGGAAGCCCAAGGAGGCGGCCAUGAGGAGCGCGCAGCCACCGGAGUCGUGGGCAGAUCUAGCCGGGGCCGUCAGCAGCCAUCCCUCCCUCCGGGCGGGCAUGAAGAAUUUAAGCGGCUUGGGCAGAACUAGCAUAUGGACCAUGCGCGCCUCCCGCGCUAGGAGCCACCGGUCCUCGUUAUCUGCUAGCAUCCACGAGGAAUCCAUCCAUAUAAUGUUACGACAUUUAAAACUGUGUCAAAGGAUGUGACGAUGCAACGAAAGAACUUGAGUAGUGUUCUACUCGCCUUGGUGGAAAGGCACCAAAGGUAUUUUGUUCUAUGCCAGUCUGCAACAUGCAUUUUCAAUCUGCUAUGGACCUUUCUUUAUAGAAUAUUCUAGAUACAUAUUUGUAGCUUAAGAUAUUUUUGGUUCAAUGUUGAUUCAAUAGCUCCGAACCAUUAAUAUUUUUUUUUCUGAGAAUGCUUUUAAGUGGAGCUCAAGAAUUGGGAAGAACCUACUCACUAGCUUCAUGUUAUUCUGAACCGAGUAAAAGAACACACCCAUCUAUAAGGACAAAUGGAUAUAUGUUGAUGGCCACACAUAUAGAGGCUGGCGAUCAACUCUCAAAAUUCAUAGUAUACACCAGAAAGGCUGGCGAUCAACUCUAAGUUUCACUUACAAGGCAUACAAAAUAGAUGCAGCUAGAUUGGCUAUCUGCUGGAAGAUUUACAACCAGAAGAGUGGGAAUGGAUGAUUGAGUACUUUGGCACUGAUUCAAAAUUUCAGGACCACAGCCAAAAGAACACCGAUAGUCGUAAGAAACAGAAGACAAAACACAAAAUUGGAUCAAAAACUUACUCGCAACUAAGUUUUGAGAAGAGAAACUUGGAAACUGGAGAAGAGCCAGAUUGUAUUGUUCUGUGGGAACUCACCCACACAAAGAAUGGAACAUGGUCUAACACAGAGUCCCAGGAUGUUUACGAUCCAAAGAACUAGCUCGAUUGGACUCUAGAUCACGGACAAUUUAGUCUUGGAACUUAAUUAGGAUGGCUAAAUUACAUUUGAGUUUCAUUUGAUGGAUAUUUGCUAUGAGAAUUAUGAAUUUUAUGAAUCUACAUAUUAUACGUGUGGUUUUAAAUAUUGUAAUUGAAUGCCUAUAUUUUUUUAGGUUGCAAUAGGCUAUUGCCACAACCCACUUUUGGUUGCCACAUGUUAGUACCACGAAAAUUUAAAUUGUCGCAAUAGUUUCUCGCUACAAACAUUUCACUUGUUGUGAUACCUAUUUAUCACCGCCAAAACUAGUAUGUUGCAAUUUCUUGUUA